GACGGAGGAUGCAAGUGUUAUCCGGAAUCACUGGGCGUAAAGCGUCUGUAGGUGGUUUAAAAAGUCUACUGUUAAAGCUUGAAGCUUAACUUCAAAAAUGCCGUAGAAACUUUUAAACUUGAGUAUGGUAGGGGUAGAGGGAAUUUCCAGUGGAGCGGUGAAAUCCGUAGAUAUCAGGAGGAACACCGAUGGCGAAGGCAGGUCUCUGGGCUGACACUGACGCUCAUGCACGAAAGCGUGGGGAGCAAACAGG
rnacentral:rRNA from 1 species